rnacentral:rRNA from 1 species
UACGUAGGGUGCAAGCGUUGUCCGGAAUUAUUGGGCGUAAAGAGCUCGUAGGCGGUUUGUCGCGUCUGCUGUGAAAGACCGGGGCUCAACUCCGGUUCUGCAGUGGGUACGGGCAGACUAGAGUGCAGUAGGGGAGACUGGAAUUCCUGGUGUAGCGGUGAAAUGCGCAGAUAUCAGGAGGAACACCGAUGGCGAAGGCAGGUCUCUGGGCUGUAACUGACGCUGAGGAGCGAAAGCAUGGGGAGCGAACAGG